AAAGACAAUAGCCUGAAGAGUAUAUGAUAUGAUAAAACAUUGUUUUUCCUCAUCAGAAGAAAUCACGAACCGUCAAUCCUCUGAACGGCUGUCUUGAAUCAAUCCACUUCAAUCACAUACGGCUUUUGGACUCCACUCCUCCGGAGAUUCCCAUGAAACAUCACAACAAUCGAAAAGCAGACAGGGUGAGUUGUCUUCUUUAGAGUAAGAAGGCAAAAGACAGAUCUUUAGGAAUUUUCUGGGUUGAUUUGAGGCUAAAAAAGCAGGAAAAGAUGGAGGGUGAAGGGAAGAAAGUGACUGGUAAUGGUGGUCCAGGGAAGACUACAGCAAGUGAAGAGGCUGCCUUGAAGAAGUGCUUGGAAGAGAACAAAGGAGAUCAUGCCAAGUGUAAGCCACUGAUUGAAGCAUUGAAGUCUGCUGUUGUCACUCCAGAGAAAAGGGUACUGUCUCCACUGAGGUUGAGAAUUGGUUCUUUGACUGAGGUUUAAAGCUCACAAAUUGUUGUCCUGAUUGCAAAGACAAGUUCUGUUGGAACCAUUAGCUAAUGUAAUAGCUAUAAUAUGAUUAUGGGAUGAUCAGCCAAGACUCUUAUGUGAAACUUGAUAAUGGGGAUUAUAUUCUUGUUUCUGCAAUCUUAUGAACAUUUGAUACACAUUGUGCU